rnacentral:misc_RNA from 1 species
GAUGAAGAACGUAGCGAAAUGCGAUAAGUAAUGUGAAUUGCAGAAUUCAGUGAAUCAUCGAAUCUUUGAACGCACAUUGCGCCCCCUGGUAUUCCGGGGGGCAUGCCUGUCCGAGCGUCAUUACAACCCUCAAGCUCAGCUUGGUGUUGGGCCCCGCCGCCCCGGCGGGCCCUAAAGUCAGUGGCGGUGCCGUCCGGCUCCGAGCGUAGUAAUUCUUCUCGCUCUGGAGGUCCGGUCGUGUGCUCGCCAGCAACCCCCAAUUUUUUUCAGGUUCACCUCGGAUCAGGUAGGGAUACCCGCUGAACUUAAGCAUAUCAAUAAGCGGAGGA